AGUACCUUGGAACAAUUUUUUUUUUUUUUCUGUCAAUGCACCAUGCUACUUCAGAUUUUCACUUGAGCAGAAUCUUGUCUCUUGCCUUCAGGACUGGUCUCUCAGGAACAGUUGUGUUUGUCCAGGCAUCUUGCAAAACUUGCAAGGAUUUUGAUGACAUUGAUGACAAAUUCAGAAAAUACUAUUUUGUCUUUUGAAGUAUAGAUGUAAAAGGCAGAUUCUAGUUGUCUGGAAGAAUGCAUCAAAAUUUAUGACCAAGUAGGCAAAUGAAGAUACAGCUGGGUAAAAGGCUUGAAUUUCACUCGAAUCACUGCUUUGUGUCAUUUUCCACCUGGAUGAAGGGAGGAGGUUGGAUCUGUUGGGCAGCAGCCAUUUCCUUUUCAGCAAGUGCCUGAACCAGUCAUGGCCCAAAAGCAUUCACUCAGGAAUUUCUGGAUCACUGUGGAAGAUUAAGUCACCUCUUUCUUGAUAAAUGUACUCUGAAGAUGUGGGAUACUGCUGGUGCAAUGCCAAAAGUCAGUGCUUCUCCAUGUAACAGAUCCACGGGACUCCUUACCAAUGGAUGUUGGAGGUACAAGGAGUUUAGAUGGGCUCACUGAGAGAUGGGAGC